UAAUAAUAUAUGCAAUUCGGCUGAUAAGCGCUUGCGGUCGAAGGACCAUAGCAUUAGCAGUUGGGACUUCACUAUCUUUGGACCAAACGAUCCUCAAAUGUCAACUAAAAACCUGCCACAUAAAAUAGCUCACAAACAUAACAAAACAGAGUGGACACUCAAUGUUCUUUGGCUGCCUGGAAAUAAAGGUUCCCUCUUUGGUUUCUUCAAGAACCUCUCGUGGAGCAUGGUAUGGAUGUUUGCGUAAUUGCAUUAGCUGCCUAAUGUUACAUCGUUCUUUUAAUUGUCUUAACAUACUGCUAGAAAUAUUUGGCCUACUACUUCUCCAGCUAUAAGACCAUCUGAAGACCCCAAUCUUAUAGAUAAGCCCACGUGAUCUUUGCCUGAGUUAGUUGUUAAUUGUUAUGUCAAGCUUGAUUAGUUAGCUGCUUAGUCAAUAGUUAGUUAUCUAAGAUAUUUUCAGAGGUCGGUUAGUGCCUUUAUAUAUUGUACAGCUCAUUAUUUGUAAAGCAGUUAAUAUGAAAUGAAGAAAACAAUUUCCCCCUUAUUCCUUUCUCUAAAAUUCCUUCUCUGUUUCAUCAAUUCGACCUGAGUUUUGGAUUUUAACACAUACUCAUGACAAACGAGUAUGAUAUGAAUUACAUACUGCAAUUAUAUUCUCCAAGAUACACUACAAGUUUAAAUUUAAAAAAAGAAAAAAGAAAAAAAGGCUAGAAGUACCUUUGCCUGAUACACACAUUAUCCAUAUAGGAUCUUUUGGAAGUUAUUAGAGAAAGUUUAGACAUCGAGCUAGUUUGGAAGGUUUCAAAUUUCGUAUUACAGCAAUGAAUGAAUCUUUUAGGGAUCUGCAGUACCACAAUGAAGUGAAAUAAGCAUUAGUAGUUAGGCAUCAGGAAAUACUCGAAUCAUCCACUGAGGUGUUCAUUCUCAUGUUAGGCAGACUCCGAUACAUAUGAAGCCAAGUGCUUUACACUUCAGAGAGAGCAACGGGAAUGUUUUCUGUAUAGUCUAUUUCAUCCCACAUCGGGAAGAGCUAAUGCGUAGAUAGCCACUAACUGCUAUAAAAAUUGAGGCCCAUUCUUCUUUAAAAGCAUACCUUUCUCGGCCUUUUGGCUAAGAUCAAGUGUAGUAUCUGUUCUUAUUAGUUUAAUAUCUGAUAUGUGAGCCAUUGAUUCACAUGAUAUUAACUCAAUUUUUUAAGGGGAGAGUCCAUUAAGGUAGCUUGCUACUUGGGCUUUCACGUGUUGCCCAUGCGUUGCACUGCUGCUUGGGCCUGGCGCACCCCACCAAAUCUAGUCCAACAUUUAUGGGUAAUGUCUGAUAUCUGCUUCUCUACUCAGUUGAUGUGAUAUUUUACUUGGUUGGUUGGCCCUUAUUUUAAGAUUUCUGACCCAGCUUACAAAAAUAUUUUCGUGUUUAACAUAACAUUUGUAGUGAAAUUUCACCAGCAUUGAGCUAAAGUGCAAUUACUGUUAUUCUUGAUGUUAUACAAAUCACAAACUAUAUACCCUUACUUAGCUCUCUUUAUACUUCAUUCAAUCAUUUUUAACACAGGAAAUAAACAAAUAGUGAUCCAGUAGCGGGGAAGGGGCCUAGAAGUGCCUACUACUACACCACACACACUUGGCUCUACACAUUUUACAGAGCUAACCCCUGUCCAGUGCCCGGCAGAGCUAAGGGGCUUUUGCUCUUUUAAGUAAUCUUCCUAUAAAUUUGACAAGAUGUUAGUUAUUUGCCUAGUUCGUACGGCUCCUAGAUAAUUCACUUCGAUGUGACGAAUACUAGAACAUAUUCUUCAAUGGGUUGCUAAGUUAAAUUGGAUAUGUCUAAGUUCUAUUAAAGCAAACAAUGUUGACAAUCA